CCUAACCAUGCAAGUCGGACGGUAGCACAGAGGAGCUUGCUCCUCGGGUGACGAGUGGCGGACGGGUGAGUAAUGUCUGGGGAUCUGCCCGAUAGAGGGGGAUAACCACUGGAAACGGUGGCUAAUACCGCAUAACGUCGCAAGACCAAAGAGGGGGACCUUCGGGCCUCUCACUAUCGGAUGAACCCAGAUGGGAUUAGCUAAUAGGCGGGGUAACGGCCCACCUAGGCGACGAUCCCUAUCUGGUCUGAGAGGAUGACCAGCCACACUGGAACUGACACACGGUCCACACUCCUACGGGAGGCAGCAGUGGGGAAUAUUGCACAAUGGGCGCAAGCCUGAUGCAGCCAUGCCGCGUGUAUGAAGAAGGCCUUCGGGUUGUAAAGUACUUUCAGCGGGGAGGAAGGCGAUGUAGUUAAUAACCGCUUUGAUUGACGUUACCCGCAAAAAACACACCCGCUAUCUCCGUGCCAGCGGCCGCGGAAAUACGGGGGGGGCACUUC
rnacentral:rRNA from 1 species